rnacentral:rRNA from 1 species
GCGUGCCUAAUACAUGCAAGUAGAACGCUGAAGAGAGGAGCUUGCUCUUCUUGGAUGAGUUGCGAACGGGUGAGUAACGCGUAGGUAACCUGCCUUGUAGCGGGGGAUAACUAUUGGAAACGAUAGCUAAUACCGCAUAACAAUGGAUGACACAUGUCAUUUAUUUGAAAGGGGCAAUUGCUCCACUACAAGAUGGACCUGCGUUGUAUUAGCUAGUAGGUGAGGUAAUGGCUCACCUAGGCGACGAUACAUAGCCGACCUGAGAGGGUGAUCGGCCACACUGGGACUGAGACACGGCCCAGACUCCUACGGGAGGCAGCAGUAGGGAAUCUUCGGCAAUGGGGGCAACCCUGACCGAGCAACGCCGCGUGAGUGAAGAAGGUUUUCGGAUCGUAAAGCUCUGUUGUAAGUCAAGAACGGGUGUGAGAGUGGAAAGUUCACACUAUGACGGUAGCUUACCAGAAAGGGACGGCUAACUACGUGCCAGCAGCCGCGGUAAUACGUAGGUCCCGAGCGUUGUCCGGAUUUAUUGGGCGUAAAGCGAGCGCAGGCGGUUUGAUAAGUCUGAAGUUAAAGGCUGUGGCUCAACCAUAGUUCGCUUUGGAAACUGUCAAACUUGAGUGCAGAAGGGGAGAGUGGAAUUCCAUGUGUAGCGGUGAAAUGCGUAGAUAUAUGGAGGAACACCGGUGGCGAAAGCGGCUCUCUGGUCUGUAACUGACGCUGAGGCUCGAAAGCGUGGGGAGCGAACAGGAUUAGAUACCCUGGUAGUCCACGCCGUAAACGAUGAGUGCUAGGUGUUGGAUCCUUUCCGGGAUUCAGUGCCGCAGCUAACGCAUUAAGCACUCCGCCUGGGGAGUACGACCGCAAGGUUGAAACUCAAAGGAAUUGACGGGGGCCCGCACAAGCGGUGGAGCAUGUGGUUUAAUUCGAAGCAACGCGAAGAACCUUACCAGGUCUUGACAUCCCGAUGCUAUUUCUAGAGAUAGAAAGUUACUUCGGUACAUCGGUGACAGGUGGUGCAUGGUUGUCGUCAGCUCGUGUCGUGAGAUGUUGGGUUAAGUCCCGCAACGAGCGCAACCCCUAUUGUUAGUUGCCAUCAUUCAGUUGGGCACUCUAGCGAGACUGCCGGUAAUAAACCGGAGGAAGGUGGGGAUGACGUCAAAUCAUCAUGCCCCUUAUGACCUGGGCUACACACGUGCUACAAUGGUUGGUACAACGAGUUGCGAGUCGGUGACGGCGAGCUAAUCUCUUAAAGCCAAUCUCAGUUCGGAUUGUAGGCUGCAACUCGCCUACAUGAAGUCGGAAUCGCUAGUAAUCGCGGAUCAGCACGCCGCGGUGAAUACGUUCCCGGGCCUUGUACACACCGCCCGUCACACCACGAGAGUUUGUAACACCCGAAGUCGGUGAGGUAACCUUUUAGAGCCAGCCGCCUAAGGUGGGACAGAUGAUUGGGGUGAA